AUUUAGAACCAUUUGAAUGAUGUCAUUGAAUAGCAGCAUUUCUUUUUUCAUUUUUUUGCCUGUGAAUCUGUGAGAGUGAGAUAUUAAAGUCUUCCACUGUUGCGGGAAAUAAUAAAAAAUGAUCCUGCCAACUCUCCUGCCCCAGAGGGGUUCCAGCUCUAGCACUGGUGGGCCACAACACUGUGUCCUGGCAGGGUACCGCUCACAAGGUCUCUGAGAGACUCUCUCCCAGCUAGCCCCCGCUGUGUUUGUUCCAUCACCACUAGUUCUUCUUCAUCCAUAAAUCUAUAUAGUUGGAGAUCACAUAUUCCAGUAACUACAUGGGACCGCCAACCUCGCGGUUACAUCUCACAACCCAAUACCCCAGUAGAAUCAAGACUCUGUAGUUAACCAACUAGAUUUAUAUAUCAAUAAAAUCUCAAUUUACAAAAUGCCAAUAAAGAAUUUCAGAGCCAGUUGGUAAUGAUAAAACUUUACCCCAAUAUUUCUAAACUUAUGAAAUCAUAGCUACUUGUGGCUAGUAAUUGCCACAGGAGUUCACAGUCUGCGGUCUUGGUUCUUCUCCCUACCCUCUGGGAUACUCCCUCUCUGCAAUUCUUAGCUCAACCCCACUUUGCCCUGUCCAUUCACAGACCUCUGCACUAAUGUAAUUGGACAGGGAACAUCCUGCAACAUUCCACAGUCACUCUGUUGGGGUCAAUCUGUGGUUUUUAGAUCUAAUGUUUUCUUUAUGAAAUGUGAUGCCCUGUGUUUUGGUGUAUAUAGACCUAGAGUUGUAAUAUUCUGUUGGUGGGUUUCUCUUUUACUAAAAAUGAACUGAUAGUCCUUAUGUCUUCUUCCUAGUUUUUGUUUGAAGUCUGUGGUCUUGAAUAUUAGAAUAGCAAUGCUGCUGGUUCUUAGUCCCACUUCUUUGGAAUUCCUUUGUCCAUGCUUUUACUCUAAGGUGUUCUCUGUCAUUACUGGUGAAGUGUGGUUUUGGAGGAAGCAAAAGUAUGGAUGUUGUUAUCUAAUUCAGUCUGAUAGUCAGUGUGGUUUUGUUGAAGAAUUGAAAUAGUAUUUAGUUAUUAUUGAAAGGAGUGUCUGCUCCUGUCAUUUUUGUUGGUGUUGUGUUUUCUUGGACCUCUUUAUUCUGUGUCCUGCUAUUCAUUUUUUUCCUAUGACUUCUUGUGUGUCUUUACCCUUUUCAGUUGAAGGAUUCCUUUUAGGAUCUUUUGUAGAGCUUGUUUAGUAGUCAAAACUUACUUUAAUCUCUUUUUAACAUAAAAAGUUUUCUUUUUCCUUCAGUUUCCAACUAGAACAAUUAAACAUCUGUGCCUUUCAUACUUAGUCCUCACCUGGCAAUAAAAUGACCACUUCUUUUUAGGGCAGAAAUUUAUUAAUAGAAAGAAAUAUCUGACAUGUCCCUAGUUGUAAACAACCAAAUAUGUCCUGUGUUUCUUUCAUUUAAACAUAAUCUUUUCAGGCAGCAUUUAUAGCUUCAUUUGUCAAAAAUAUAUUUCUUUCAGCCAGAUUAAUAACCUCUCUGAGCAUAUUUUAUUAUUUGACACAUAUAUCCUCUUGGCAGAAGUUAGCUUUCUGAAUGAACUCCCCUGGGGAGUUUUGCUAAUCUUAGAGGAGAGAGACAUGAAACCAAACACCAGAAGACAGAAAACUUUGGAUAGUUUCUGUGGGACCACUAGUACACCUGUAUACCGUAACCAGCACACUUAAUGGAUACAGGAGCAUUCAUGUUCAGGCAACUGAAGGAAGACACAUCCCACCUCCUCCAAAUACCAUGUGUUGCGGCCGCCAGCAGCUCGCAACGUGAAUGGUUCGACUGAUAUGGCUACUCGAGCUGUAAGAGAGGAAUCUAGAUGGGGCGAAAGAAGAAACGGAGCUAAGACAAAUUCAUUCUGAUCAAAGCUCAAAUUUUAUUGUUGCGACACUAGUUAUGAAGGAAGGGGGAGGGGACCCGAUUCCCACCGAAUAAUCUCUGGUCCAGUAGAAAGGUGAGCAUGAGUGUGGCUCCGAACAGCAAAGCGGCAGGUUCCAGCAGUAGGCGUGGCAGAACGAAUGAGCAGGAAGCUCCACCCCUGAGCAGGCAGGUUUCAGGCUGGGGAAGGGGAGACUACACCAUGUCCCUUCCAUCCCUUGUCUUUUCCUUGCAGCCUGAAUCAAUUCUCUCAGCUCUGACUUUGAGGCCCCUCAUCCCCAUUAUUUUCAGAGCUUGACUGACUGACAUUCAGCGUCAUUUAUGGUAGAGGUGUUCCUUGGAUGCUCAGUAUUGUUGCCAGUAAAAUAAAUAUCAUAAUUUGCCACUUCAUAUGAUCUCAACGUGGGUUGGGGGUAGUAGUCUUAUAGGCCUACCCCAGCUCAGUAUCUAAUGGCAUUGAAUAGCUGCUGUGACAGGAUAGUUUUCUUCAAUGGUUUGACCCCUGUACCAUCAACUCCAGUGCAGCCUUCACAUCCAACACAAAUUAGGCAACACAAUUUUGACUUUAUGGGUGUUAAAAAGAGAGAGAACUCUAAUUUUGGGUAAAUCAGAAGGUGGGAUGUAUCCAGGAAAAUUUGGGAAGGAGGAUAAAUGUGAUAUAAAAAAUACAUUGUAUCAAAUUCUCAAAGAAUACACGAAAAUAUGUAAAAAUUCUGUCUACUUUAAAGAGUAAUUAGAAAGAUCAAGAUCAUAGCUAUGCCAAAGACACUUUCUUAAUUGCACAUUGCUACAGAAAUGUCAGGUAUAAUGAAUCCCUUUGUCUCAGGCAAAGUACUUUGUAUUUAUUAUUUGAGUUUCUGUCUUGACAGUUCCUUGUCAAGCAGCAAAUGUAAAGUACUGAUUCGUUGUUUUUGUUGCUGUUUUGUUUGUUUUGUUUUCAUGCUUGUCUACAGGGCUCCUGCAACUUAAUAGUAUAGACUAAAUCUUUAAGUUCUCCUACACCUCUUAUCUCUUCCCUGAACACCCAGUCAUGAUAAUAAUCUGUAAAACCCUAGGAUAAUUAUUUCUUUUAAUUCCCAAGAGUUCAUCAUUUGCUAAGUUCCAAAUGUAUUCACUUAGGCACUUGUCUUAAAAUGCUUCUCCAUUAAUUCCACAGAGCCGAAACUGUGUGAAGCUGGGCCCUCCUGCGGAGGGAGAAGUCAUCCAAGUCAAAUGGCCUGAUGGUAAACUCUAUGGGGCAAAGUAUCUUGGAUCAAAUGUUGCCUAUAUGUAUCAGGUGGGUGCUACUCUCUCUGUGCUGUUUGUUGAGAAAGACAGGAUAUACCAGAGGGAGAUAACAUGAGUAUGCUAUGGAUCAAAAAGCCACUUGAAUUUUGUUCUUUCCCUUAAAUUUUGUGAAAGAGGCAAAAUGUCAUUGUCUAGCAGCCUGGGUUUCAACUUACAGUUUAGCAACUUAUAGUUUAGUUGCCGGAUUGGACACUGAGAACCCCUAACAAUUGGUAAAUGGUUAGUUCACUAUAUGGUUCAACUGCUAGAUAGUAGGCUCUUUCCCCUGUGUUUUCAUUAUGAGAGUUGGUUUAUCUCACCUUAAGCCAGAACAUGGAGCUUGGGUUAUUAUAGCUCAGCAGUAGAACACUUGCUUUGCAUAUACAAGGCACAGAACUACAGGAAUCAGAUAGAUAGAUAGAUAGAUAGAUAGAUAGAUAGAUAGAUAGGAAUCAGAUAGAUAGAUAGAAAGAAAGGAAUCAGAUAGAU
rnacentral:lncRNA from 1 species